AAUCACAGAAUCACAGAAUCACAGAAUUGUAGGGGUUGGAAGGGACCUCCAGAGAUCAUCGAGUCCAACCCCCCUGCCAAAGCAGCUUCCCUACACCAGGUCACACAGGUAGGCAUCCAGGCGGGUCUUGAACAUCUCCAGAGAAGGAGACUCCACCACCUCCCUGGGCAGCCUGUUCCAGUGUUCCAUCACCUCACUGUAAAGAAGUUCUUGC